GCGAAAUUCCUUGUCGGGUAAGUUCCGACCUGCACGAAUGGCGUAACGACUUCCCCACUGUCUCGACCAGGAGCUCGGCGAAAUUGCAGUACGAGUAAAGAUGCUCGUUAAGCGCAGAAGGACGAAAAGACCCCGGGACCUUUACUAUACCUUGGUAUUGGCGUUAGGCGCGGAUUGUGUAGCAUAGGCGGGAGGCUUCGAAGCAUGGGCGCCAGCCCGUGUGGAGCCGCAAGGUGAAAUACCGCUCUGUUCUCGUUUGACGUCUCACCUCGAACAGUCAUCCUGUUCAGGGACAGUGCCUGGCGGGUAGUUUAACUGGGGCGGUUGCCUCCCAAAGAGUAACGGAGGCGCUCAAAGGUCCGCUCAGCCCGGUUGGCAAUCGGGUUUCGAGUGUAAUCGCACAAGCGGGCUUGACUGCGAGAACGACGGUUCGGGCAGGGACGAAAGUCGGAGAUAGUGAUCCGGUGCCGGCGCACGGGCGCGGCAUCGCUCAACGGAUAAAAGGUACCCCGGGGAUAACAGGCUGAUCAUUCCCAAGAGUCCAUAUCGACGGGAUGGUUUGGCACCUCGAUGUCGGCUCGUCGCAUCCUGGGGCUGGAGCAGGUCCCAAGGGUUCGGCUGUUCGCCGAUUAAAGCGGCACGCGAGCUGGGUUCAGAACGUCGUGAGACAGUUUGGUCUCUAUCCUCUGCGCUCGUUGGAAUCCUGAGGAGGCCUGCCCAUAGUACGAGAGGACCUGGGUGGACGGACCUCUGGUAUGCCGGUUGUCGCGCCAGCGGCAUGGCCGGUUGGCUACGUUCGGGAGGGAUAACCGCUGAAAGCAUCUAAGCGGGAAGCCUGCUCCAAGAUUAGGAUUCCUUGACGCUUUUCGGAGCGCCUGUAGCCCGCAUGUUGAACACGUGUUCGAUAGGCCGGAGGUGGAAGCCCCGCGAGGGGUGGAGCCGACCGGUACUAACGGGCGAACGCGGCACACUC
rnacentral:rRNA from 1 species